CAGUAGCCACGGGAAUACGGAGGGUGCAAGCGUUAAUCGGAACUACUGGGCGUAAAGCGCACGCAGGCGGUCUGACAAGUCAGAUGUGAAAUCCCCGGGCUUAACCUGGGAACUGCAUUUGAAACUGUCAGGCUGGAGUCUUGUAGAGGGGGGUGGAAUUCCAGGUGUAGCGGUGAAAUGCGUAGAGAUCUGGAGGAAUACCGGUGGCGAAGGCGGCCCCCUGGACAAAGACUGACGCUCAGGUGCGAAAGCGUGGGGAGCAAACAGGAUUAGAUACCCCAGUAGUCCCUGUCUCUUAUAC
rnacentral:rRNA from 1 species